CCUACGGGUGGCAGCAGUGAGGAAUAUUGGUCAAUGGCCGAGAGUCUGAACCAGCCAAGUCGCGUGAGGGAAGACGGCCCUAUGGGUUGUAAACCUCUUUUAUCGGGGAGUAAAGCGAGUCACGUGUGACUCAUUGAGUGUACCCGAUGAAAAAGGAUCGGCUAACUCCGUGCCAGCAGCCGCGGUAAUACGGAGGAUGCGAGCGUUAUCCGGAUUUAUUGGGUUUAAAGGGUGCGUAGGCGGGGGGUGAAGUCAGUGGUGAAAGUGUGGGGCUCAACCCUCGAAUUGCGGUUGAUACUGGAUGCCUUGAGUACGCGUGAGGUAUGCGGAAUGCGUGGUGUAGCGGUGAAAUGCAUAGAUAUCACGCAGAACUCCGAUUGCGAAGGCAGCAUAC
rnacentral:rRNA from 1 species